UACGUAGGGGGCAAGCGUUGUCCGGAAUCAUUGGGCGUAAAGAGCGCGUAGGCGGUCCGGUAAGUCCGCUCUGAAAGUCCGGGGCUCAACCCCGGGAGGCGGGCGGAUACUGUCGGGCUAGAGUCCGGAAGAGGCGAGUGGAAUUCCUGGUGUAGCGGUGAAAUGCGCAGAUAUCAGGAGGAACACCAAUGGCGAAGGCAGCUCGCUGGGACGGUACUGACGCUGAGGCGCGAAGGCGUGGGGAGCGAACGGG
rnacentral:rRNA from 1 species